AGUGAACGCUGGCGGUAGGCCUAACACAUGCAAGUCGAACGGCAGCACAGUAAGAGCUUGCUCUUACGGGUGGCGAGUGGCGGACGGGUGAGGAAUACAUCGGAAUCUACUUUUUCGUGGGGGAUAACGUAGGGAGACUUACGCUAAUACCGCAUACGACCUACGGGUGAAAGCAGGGGAUCUUCGGACCUUGCGCGAUUGAAUGAGCCGAUGUCGGAUUAGCUAGUUGGCGGGGUAAAGGCCCACCAAGGCGACGAUCCGUAGCUGGUCUGAGAGGAUGAUAAGCCACACUGGAACUGAGACACGGUCCAGACUCCUACGGGAGGCAGCAGUGGGGAAUAUUGGACAAUGGGCGCAAGCCUGAUCCAGCAAUACCGCGUGGGUGAAGAAGGCCUUCGGGUUGUAAAGCCCUUUUGUUGGGAAAGAAAAGCAGCAGGUUAAUACCCCGCUGUUCUGACGGUACCCAAAGAAUAAGCACCGGCUAACUUCGUG
rnacentral:rRNA from 1 species